rnacentral:rRNA from 1 species
UACGUAGGGGGCAAGCGUUGUCCGGAAUCAUUGGGCGUAAAGCGCGUGUAGGCGGCCCGAUUAGUCCGCUCUGAAAGCCCGGGGCUCAACCCCGGGAGGCGGGCGGAUACUGUCGGGCUAGAGUCCGGAAGGGGCGAGUGGAAUUCCUGGUGUAGCGGUGAAAUGCGCAGAUAUCAGGAGGAACACCGAUGGCGAAGGCAGCUCGCUGGGACGGUACUGACGCUGAGACGCGAAAGCGUGGGGAGCAAACAGG